GCAUGAAGGCCACUCCAAAAGAGUAGCCAUGUGAGACACCAUGCAAAAGUAAAAGUCUUCCUUUAAGAUGGCUGAUAUGCUAUAUUUUAUGGUAUAUCAUUAUUAAAAGUGAGUACAAAU